rnacentral:lncRNA from 1 species
UUAUGUAUUGACUUCCUUUCUUGUCUGGAUGGAUUAUGUCAAAUCUAUUGUCGUCUGAGGUUCCCUUCAAUGCUUAUCUGGCUAGGGAACCUUUUCUACUUCAUUUUCCCUGUUGAUUUUUUCAGGUAAUCAGAAGUGUAUGAACAUCAAUAGCAGGAGAAACUGCAGAUUUCUUUAUCUCUCUUUUUUCCUGGCUUCUCAUCUUGCCUUUUCUUUUAAUUGUGCCAAAAAAUUGGUCCUUCAGACUUAGUGUUUUUUUUCCACUGAAAGAACAACUGGCUCCAUAAAAUUCCUGUUGUCCUGUUCAUCACCUAAUAGAGAGAAAAAAGAGAUGAAAGAGGAGUGCAAAAUAAAAUAAACACCUUACUUCUUUUUUUAACAUGGUGGACAAUUGAUUCUUUUUAUUGUUCUGUUAUCUAUGGUUUGUUAUUUAUUUUCUUUUGUUAAAUUAUGUCUAAUUACUUUUAUACCUCACUUGAAACUGAUUUCUACCAGUAUUAUGUACUGUCAUAGGGACUGGAAUCUCAGGGGAUGAUUGAAAACCUCGGGCUGGAUGUUUUUCUUAGAACAUUACAGGAUGUUCAGAGUGGUUGCACCAUUCCACCUGACAGCAGUAACAUCAUUAACAUUCAGAAAAUCAUGGGAACCAAACAAUCCAUUCAUGACAGAGACGGUAAUCUAUUGGGACUGUGCAGAUUCUGUUUCUGAAUGGAAAGGACAAUUUGGUUCACUACUCUCUGUGCUAUCCCUUUGGCUUUUCUGUCGGCCUCUAGCUCUUGUUUCUGUUGUUGGCCCUGCAAAUUUUCUGCUGCAAUUUCUAGGGGUCUCUGCAAAGUGUUCCCUAGGUUAUCUAUACUUUGACUUGCUGUUGCAGGUCCUUGCCUCUCCUCUAAUUUUGAAUUUAGUGUUUCCUGUUUUCCUUUUGAUUUUGUAUCCACUAAAUUAACCUGUUUCACCUCAUCCCCACUCUUUCCAAGUUCUGACACCUCUCUAUGUUCCUGUUUCUGUUGUUCAGUGUGUUCUUGUCUCAGUUGAUUAUCAAUAUCAAUAUCUUCCAUAUAAUAUCUUCCAUAUAAUUAUUAUCAAUAUCUUCCAUAUAAUUAUUAUAAUCAUCCCUACUUUUGUCCUCCCUAUUGGCUUUAUCUUCACUAUUUCUUUUUCUCUGACAUAUGUCACAAGCUUGACAGAAUUCUUUUAUCUCUUUUCCCAUUUUUGGCCAAUAAUACUUCUGAGAUAUUCUUUGCUUAGUUUCUGCAAUACCUAAAUGUCC